AGAGUUUGAUCCUGGCUCAGAGCGAAGGCGGCAGGCUUAACACAUGCAAGUCGAGCGGGCACCUUCGGGUGUCAGCGGCAGACGGGUGAGUAACACGUGGGAACGUGCCCUUUGGUUCGGAACAACUCCGGGAAACUGGAGCUAAUACCGGAUAAGCCCUUUUGGGGAAAGAUUUAUCGCCAAAGGAUCGGCCCGCGUCUGAUUAGCUAGUUGGUAGGGUAACGGCCUACCAAGGCGACGAUCAGUAGCUGGUCUGAGAGGAUGAUCAGCCACACUGGGACUGAGACACGGCCCAGACUCCUACGGGAGGCAGCAGUGGGGAAUAUUGGACAAUGGGCGCAAGCCUGAUCCAGCCAUGCCGCGUGAGUGAUGAAGGCCCUAGGGUUGUAAAGCUCUUUUAGCGGGGAAGAUAAUGACGGUACCCGCAGAAUAAGCCCCGGCUAACUUCGUGCCAGCAGCCGCGGUAAUACGAAGGGGGCUAGCGUUGCUCGGAAUCACUGGGCGUAAAGGGCGCGUAGGCGGAUCUUUAAGUCGGGGGUGAAAGCCCAGGGCUCAACCCUGGAAUUGCCUUCGAUACUGAGGAUCUAGAGACCGGAAGAGGUUAGUGGAACUGCGAGUGUAGAGGUGAAAUUCGUAGAUAUUCGCAAGAACACCAGUGGCGAAGGCGGCUAACUGGUCCGGUUCUGACGCUGAGGCGCGAAAGCGUGGGGAGCAAACAGGAUUAGAUACCCUAGUAGUCC
rnacentral:rRNA from 1 species